rnacentral:snRNA from 1 species
AUAUUUAUUUAGCAGAGGAGACACCAUGAUUACGGUAGGGGGUUUUCCCAGUGUGAGAAUCGUCCCGUGCGGUUUCCCUAAAUGCGGCAAACUGGACUGCAUGAUUUGUGGUAGUGGGGGAGUGUGUUCGCGCUCUCCCCUG